UAUGGCUUANCCAUAGAACUGCUUGGGAAACUGGUAAUCUAGAGUGAGGGAGAGGCAGAUGGAAUUGGUGGUGUAGGGGUAAAAUCCGUAGAGAUCACCAGGAAUACCCAUUGCGAAGGCGAUCUGCUGGAACUCAACUGACGCUAAUGCGUGAAAGCGUGGGGAGCAAACAGGAUUAGAUACCCUGGUAGUCCACGCCCUAAACGAUGUAUACUAGUUGUUGCUAAGCUAGUCUUGGCAGUAAUGCACCUAACGGAUUAAGUAUACCGCCUGGGGAGUACGGUCGCAAGAUUAAAACUCAAAGGAAUAGACGGGGACCCGCACAAGCGGUGGAGCAUGUGGUUUAAUUCGAAGAUACGCGAAGAACCUUACCCGGACUUGAUAUCUAACAAAUCAUCUAGAGAUAGAAGAGUGUCUGCUUGCAGAAAUGUUAAGACAGGUGCUGCACGGCUGUCGUCAGCUCGUGUCGUGAGAUGUUGGGUUAAGUCCCGCAACGAGCGCAACCCACGUCAUUAGUUGCUAACAGUUCGGCUGAGCACUCUAAUGAGACUGCCUUCGUAAGGAGGAGGAAGGUGUGGACGACGUCAAGUCAUCAUGGCCCUUAUGUCCGGGGCGACACACGUGCUACAAUGGCAUAUACAAUGAGAAGCAAUAUCGCGAGAUGGAGCAAAUCUAUAAAAUAUGUCCCAGUUCGGAUUGGAGUCUGCAACUCGACUCCACGAAGCCGGAAUCGCUAGUAAUCGUAGAUCAGCCAUGCUACGGUGAAUACGUUCCCGGGUCUUGUACUCACCGCCCGUCACACCAUGGGAGUUGAUUUCACUCGAAGCCGGAAUACUAAAUUA
rnacentral:rRNA from 1 species